rnacentral:rRNA from 1 species
UUCUGGCUCAGAAUGAACGCUGGCGGCGUGCCUAACACAUGCAAGUCGUACGAGAAAGGGGCUUCGGCCCUGAGUAGAGUGGCGCACGGGUGAGUAACGCGUGGGUAAUCUACCCUUGGAUUUGGGAUAACUCUGCGAAAGUGGAGCUAAUACCGGAUAGUCUGGCUUUAAAUAAGAAGUCGGUAAAGGAUGCCUCUGCAUAUGCAUUCGUCCGAGGAUGAGCCCGCGUCUCAUUAGCUAGUUGGUAGGGUAAUGGCCUACCAAGGCAACGAUGAGUAGCUGGUCUGAGAGGAUGAUCAGCCACACUGGAACUGAAACACGGUCCAGACUCCUACGGGAGGCAGCAGUGGGGAAUAUUGCGCAAUGGGCGAAAGCCUGACGCAGCAACGCCGUGUGAGGGAUGAAGGCUUUCGGGUCGUAAACCUCUGUCGGAAGGGAAGAACGGGCAUUGGUCUAAUAGGCCUUUGUUUUGACGGUACCUUUAGAGGAAGCACCGGCUAACUCCGUGCCAGCAGCCGCGGUAAUACGGAGGGUGCAAGCGUUAUUCGGAAUUACUGGGCGUAAAGCGCACGUAGGCGGCCUUGUAAGUCAGGGGUGAAAUCCCACGGCUCAACCGUGGAACUGCCUUUGAAACUGCAGGGCUUGAAUCCUGGAGAGGGUGGCGGAAUUCCUGGUGUAGGAGUGAAAUCCGUAGAUAUCAGGAGGAACACCGGUGGCGAAGGCGGCCACCUGGACAGGUAUUGACGCUGAGGUGCGAAAGUGUGGGGAGCAAACAGGAUUAGAUACCCUGGUAGUCCACACCGUAAACGAUGGAUACUAGGUGUCGGGGACUUGAUCUUCGGUGCCGUAGCUAACGCGU